GGAGAGAGGGAGAGAGGUAGAGAGGGAGAGAGGGAGAGAGGUAGAGAGGUAGAGAGGGAGAGGGAGAGAGGUAGAGAGGGAGAGAGGGAGAGAGGUAGAGAGGGAGAGAGGUAGAGAGGGAGAGAGGGAGAGAGGUAGAGAGGGAGAGAGGUAGAGAGGGAGAGAGGGAGAGAGGUAGAGAGGUAGAGAGGUAGAGAGGUAGAGAGGUAGAGAGGGAGAGAGAGAGAGGUAGAGAGGUAGAGAGGUAGAGAGGUAGAGAGGUAGAGAGGUAGAGAGGUAGAGAGGUAGAGAGGGAGAGAGAG
ensembl:lncRNA